rnacentral:ncRNA from 1 species
ACAAAAUUUAAUUAUGGUUUUUUUGUUACCUUUUUUAACAUAAAUAUAUACGAGUUUAAAAUUUAAGAUUUUGAUUUUAAUUAUGGUAGUAUUAAGUUUUAGGAUAUUAAAAAAAUUUAGAACUAGAGAUUAUAAUAGUAUAAACUAAUUUUGUGCCAGCAGUUGCGGUUAUACAAAAUAUGCAAUGUAAUAUUUUUAAUUUUAAUUAAUAUGAAUUAAUUUUUAAUAAGAAAAAAUUAUUUUUUAGGUGAAAUUUGAUAUAAUUAUUUUUAUUAAAAAGUAUAUAUGAAGUUAGUAAAAUCAAAACUUAAACUAGGAUUAGAUACCCUACUAUUUUGAUUAUUAAUUUAAAUAUUAAAUUAUUAAUAGCUAUGUUCUUUAAAGUUAAAUAAUUUGGCGGUGUUUUAGUCUUUUCAGAGGAACCUGUUCUGUAAUUGAUAAUCCACGAGAGAAUCAAUUUUAAAAUUUUCAUAUCGUCGUAGAAGAAUAUUUUAUUAGAAUUUUAAUAUUCAUAAUUUUUUAUUUAAAAAGAAAAUCAGAUCAAGAUGUAGUUUAUAUUAAAAUAGAAAUGGGUUACAAUAAAUCCAAAUAAAAAUAUUAUUUUUUAAAAUUAAUUGAAAAUGGAUUUGAUAGUAAUUAAUUUUACUUUUUUUUAAUGAUUAAGCUCUAAAGCAUGUACAUAUCGCCCGUCACUCUCAUUAUAAAAUGAGAAAAGUCGUAACAUAGUAGAUUUACUGGAAAGUGAAUCUUGAAUGAC